CGUUAAUUAUAAAAGUGGGAGCUCGAGUUUUAAAUCGGAUGUUUUUGGAUGACGGACAAGUCACAGUGUGUACUUCCUGAUUUAACUGGCCAAUGACUGGCUCGGGAUUGGAGAACGGAAAUAUACCUGGAAUAGAAUUACAGGCAAAAGAGACAGAGAAGGGGAUGCUGUAAAUGUUCAGUUCCAGGGCAAACUGUUCAAGGAAUUUUAAUACAGCAGGUACAGACGAUACAGUCACUGUUUAAUUCUCCUUUUAUAAUCAUUUUUUAAGUGCACAGUUUGUUUUUUCUAUGGGAAUCAUUUAUUCUGAGAACUGCAUUUCUUUACAUUUCCCUGGAUGAAAGGGCAUUGUAAUUCAAAGCAAGCCACAGAAUCACGUGAGCAAAGCUUUAGUAUCCAGCCGGUUUUUUUUCCAGAUAACUGCCUGAACUUCUGUAGGAGUUGUAUAGACUAAGCUGCUGGCUUUGCAUUUGACAUUUUGUAGCAGAGUGUUUGUGUUCUGUACAUAGUUUUCACAAGUUUUAUUUUUUUUUGCUGAAGGUAUUCAUGAAUCACUGAUUAAACUUAUAUUUAUGUAUUUAAAAGCAUGUGCUUUCUGUUUUGUA